rnacentral:rRNA from 1 species
UUUUGCCUACGGGGGGCAGCAGUGGGGAAUAUUGGACAAUGGGGGAAACCCUGAUCCAGCGACGCCGCGUGAGUGAAGAAGUAUUUCGGUAUGUAAAGCUCUCUCAGCAGGGAAGAAAGAAAUGACGGUACCUGACUAAGAAGCCCCGGCUAACUACGUGCCAGCAGCCGCGGUAAUACGUAGGGGGCAAGCGUUAUCCGGAUUUACUGGGUGUAAAGGGAGCGUAGACGGCGAUGCAAGUCUGAAGUGAAAGGCGGGU